AUUGAACGCUGGCGGCAGGCCUAACACAUGCAAGUCGAACGAGUGGCGGACGGGUGAGUAAUGUCUGGGAAACUGCCCGAGGGAGGGGGCUAACUACUGGAAACGGUAGCUAAUACCGCAUACCAUCGGAUGUGCCCAGAUGGGGUUAGCUAGUAGGUGGGGUAACGGCUCACCUAGGCGACGAUCCCUAGCUGGUCUGAGAGGGUGACCACCCACACUGGAACGGAGACACGGUCCAGACUCCUACGGGAGGCAGCAGGGGGGAAUAUUGCACAAUGGGCGCAAGCCUGAAGCAGCCAUGCCGCGUGGAUUGAGAAGGCCUUCGGGUUGUAAAGUACUUUCAGCGGGGAGGCGUUACUCGCAAAAGAAGCAACGGCUAACUCCGUUCCAGCAGCCGCGGUAAUUC
rnacentral:rRNA from 1 species